GACGAAGGGGGCUAGCGUUGUUCGGAAUUACUGGGCGUAAAGCGCGUGUAGGCGGUUGCCCAAGUCGGGUGUGAAAGCCUUGAGCUCAACUCAAGAAAUGCACUCGGUACUGGGUGACUAGAGGACCGGAGAGGAUAGUGGAAUUCCUGGUGUAGCGGUGAAAUGCGUAGAUAUCAGGAGGAACACCGGUGGCGAAGGCGGCCCUCUGGACGGUGACUGACGCUGGAGAACGCGAAAGCGUGGGGAGCAAACAGG
rnacentral:rRNA from 1 species